CACGUAGGGCGCGAGCGUUGUCCGGAAUUAUUGGGCGUAAAGAGCUCGUAGGCGGCCUGUUGCGUCCGCUGUGAAAGCCCGGGGCUUAACCCCGGGUCUGCAGUGGAUACGGGCAGGCUAGAGGUAGGUAGGGGAGAAUGGAAUUCCCGGUGUAGCGGUGAAAUGCGCAGAUAUCGGGAGGAACACCGGUGGCGAAGGCGGUUCUCUGGGCCUUACCUGACGCUGAGGAGCGAAAGCG
rnacentral:rRNA from 1 species